rnacentral:rRNA from 1 species
CCUACGGGUGGCAGCAGUGAGGAAUAUUGGUCAAUGGACGAGAGUCUGAACCAGCCAAGUAGCGUGAAGGAUGACUGCCCUAUGGGUUGUAAACUUCUUUUAUAUGGGAAUAAAAUGUUCCACGUGUGGGCUUUUGUAUGUACCCUAUGAAUAAGGAUCGGCUAACUCCGUGCCAGCAGCCGCGGUAAUACGGAGGAUCCGAGCGUUAUCCGGGUUUAUUGGGUUUAAAGGGAGCGUAGGUGGAUUGUUAAGUCAGUUGUGAAAGUUUGCGGCUCAACCGUAAAAUUGCAGUUGAAACUGGCAGUCUUGAGUACAGUAGAGGUAGGCGGAAUGCGUGGUGUAGCGGUGAAAUGCUUAGAUAUCACGAAGAACGCCGAUUGCGAAGGCAGCUCACUGGACUGCAACUGACACUGAGGCUCGAAAGUGUGGGUAUCAAACAGGAUUAGAUACCCCUGUAGUC